rnacentral:rRNA from 1 species
UCUAGAAGAAAAAAGGUAAUACUUCUUAAGGAAACCUUCAUCUUAUGGCGGCCUGAUUCCUUUUUAGAGGAACUCGUCUCAUAAUCGACAAUCCUCGCUAUUUUUAACUUUUCCUUCUCUCUUAUACCGCCGUCUUUAGAAUCAAUUUCCUUUUUCAAAAAAAAAGAAUUUUAUCAAGUCAGGUAAAGGUGAGGACUAUGAAAAAGGGAAGAUAAGUUACUUAUGAAUAUUAUAUUUGGAUUCAUUAUUAACAUUCUCAUGAAACAGGAUUUAAAAGUAAUUCUNUACUAAUAUUUUGCAAUGAACUAGUAAAAUUAGGUGU